CUAACCCCUCCCCCUCCCUCUCAUUUCUCACGUUCUUUCUCUCUCUUUUAUCUCUUUCUUUCCUUCCUUUCUCUCAAAAAGCAAGAACAACACCCUCUGGCUUCAAAACCGGAAUUUUGAGCUCCAAGGACUUUUGGUUCGCUGCUAGGGAUGUGAAGUUUAGUCCACAAAGCAAUCUUUUCACUUGUCUCCAUGGUGAACCUAUAAAAGCAAAAAGAAUGGGAGGCGAAGUCAAGGCCAGCCAAACACACGGGUCAAGUAAUAGAAAUAUUGACUCUCCCUCGUGAAACUAAAUUAAUCCUAGAGGGUAAUCGUCUCUUAGAAGCCGCCAUAAAAAUAUGUUAACCUUCUUAGGAAAUACAGGUUCCGGAUUGUACUCUUAUCCUCGGCAGGAAGUAAUGUGUUAUCAGUUGCUUUUCUUGGAUUGCGAACAGUAAAGGUCUUCCUACCAUGGUAGUUCCAAACCCAGUCAACACUACUUUCAGCAAGAGUGAUUUUAACGAUUAGAUGGAGCAAAAAUAUUCCAUCUUCAAGAAUUUUUAUCAGAAAUACAGCAUGCCAUAUCAAUCUCUAAUGCAAAAACUCUAGUCAGGCAAGGAGGAUUUCGAGGAUUUGGGACCGUCUACAAGAUAGCCAAGGCAAACCAUGAUAUACUCAUUAGGGGGCUCCUCUAGAUGGACAGGAAAUAGCUGUGAAGAGCCUACUCUUCAACAGAUUCAGAGCAGCAGAUUUCUAUAAUCAUUAUAAGCUUUUGAUAGCAGUCUUUAUCUCUAAUUUGUUCAGUAUACCAUGCUAAUACCAAAGAGUCAUGAGCCACUAAAAUAGUUUGCUAA